AUACGGAUAGGCAAUAUAGGAAUUUUGGGAUACGGAUAUCCGAAUCGACACUCAGUUUCGGAUCGGAUAUCCGAUCUGUGUUCACCCCUAAGAAGAAGAUCGAGUUUAGGAGGAAAAAUUUCCUCCAAUAAAAAUUCUAAUUUAGUACUUUUUCCGUUUUAUUAUAAUCGCAACACUAAGGCUCUGUUCUUUUGAGCUUCUGGGCAGAGUAGAGUAGAGCAGGGAUUAACAAAGUAGAGUAGAUUUUAGGAGAGUAUAGCAGAUUUCAACAGGGCAGGGCAGGGCUUCCACACAUUACAGAGCAGAGCAGCUCAUAAGAACAAGACCUAAGUGUUGCACAAAGUUUUAGGAAAAUUAUAAUGUGGGGACCUAAAGGGAAAUUUCAUAAUAUUCGUAUAAAGUAUAAAUAGUGGAGGUAUAUUAGAAAUAAUAAAAAAAAAUAGUAUAAAUGGAGUUGGUAUGAGAGAAAAAUAAUAAAAUAGUAAUGAAUUCUUAUAGAAGUGUUGCAAUUAUUAUGAAACGAAUGUAAAAGAAAAAUAGAAAAAUAUUACGAUUAUUACGAAUUGGUAGUAUGCCUAAGCUUUGUUUAAAACAAAAAAAAAAAAAAAAAAAAAAAAAAAAAAAAAAAAAAAAAAAAAAAAACCUCAAACUCGACAACUCAAAUAUCUGCGGCCCAGCAUAGCGUGCACCCUAAUUUGGGCUGCUCAAGACUUCCAAGUUCCAAUAUAAAAUCCCUCCUCAAGUUGUUCUCAAUCACCACAAACUCAGAAACCCUAAUUUCUUCUUCAACUUAUCCUUCAUUCAUCUUACCCUUUCUCAAUCUCUUUCGAUUUUCAUAUUCUGAGCCUGAAUAUGAUGAUAUUUCAUGUCGCCCCAGUCUUACAAGCAUCUCAAUUAGAUGCUUUAAUAUGGUGAUUGACCAUUUGAAUCUGAUUCUUGCUUUUUCUUAUGCAAUUCAAACAUUUUAUUUUUCGAUUUAUUUUUCAGAAUUGCAAGGAGAUGUGAGGAUAUACUUUACCCAAUAUAUUUUUCUGAAUUCAAAUUGAUGAAUUCUUUUUACAUGCACUACCAUCUGAUCUCUCUUGCGUUUUUCAACCAAUUUAAUUUUUUUUUUUAAUUUCAAAAUAAAUUUAUUUGUGUAAUCAAUGAUGAAAUUUUAUCUAAUACCUAAUUCUCUUGCGAUUAUUAUUCAAUAAAAUGAGCGGAAUCAAUGAUUUGAGAUUACACAAAAAAUAUGAUUUGCAAACAAUUUUAUUUUUAUUAAAUCAAAUGCAGUCAAUGAUGAAAAAUUAUCCGAAAUAUUCCUGAGUUAAUUUCAGUGAUUAAUCGUAUAAAUAUUCACCAUCUUUCGGCUGAGAUUGCACAAAUUAAUUAAUUAAUUUUAAUUUUUAUUAUAUUGCCCAAGGUAUCUAGUGCUUAACUUCCUUGUAGUUGGGUGCUUCGUUUUGUUGGGCAAAAAUUGUGAACAGAUAUUGCGACACAGAUUGCUUCAUAAUUUCACGGGCUUUCUGUUACUUAUUUCUCUGUUUACAUUUCGUUUUGUCGACUUAAGUCUUUACUUUGUACUUGUUCGGGAUUAAUUGUUGCGUUGAUAGUGUAAUUUGAAUUGGUAAUGUCACAAUUAAAUCGUGACGAGUAGUGACAAGGGUCUGAAGUUUGACUCUUUGGCUAUAUUGAAGUGCCUUAGGGAUGAAUGCAGCACCCGUUGGAAGUGACUUGCUUCACUGGGCACAUUGAUGUAGUAUGACUCCACUCGAACUAGUCCGGACCUGAUUAGACUGGAUCAAACCAGAUAUAGUCACUCCCAUUAGAUUAGAUUAAAUCAAUCUAGAUUUAGUCACUUUGAUCCGAUUAGGCUGGAUCAAACCAGAUUUAGCAACUUGAAUUGACACUUCUAUGUAUAAUUUGACUAAUAAUCCAAGGGUUCUUUAAUUAUGGACAUAAUCCUAAUAUCUGUAUUUUGAUUAAGUAAAUGUGAUUAACUUUGACAUUUA